rnacentral:rRNA from 1 species
GACAGAGGGUGCAAACGUUGUUCGGAAUUACUGGGCGUAAAGCGCGUGUAGGCUGCUCUGCAAGUCGGAUGUGAAAGCCCUGGGCUCAACCUAGGAAGUGCACUCGAAACUGCAGAGCUUGAGUCUCGGAGAGGAUCGCGGAAUUCUCGGUGUAGAGGUGAAAUUCGUAGAUAUCGAGAGGAACACCGGUGGCGAAGGCGGCGAUCUGGACGAUGACUGACGCUGAGACGCGAAAGCGUGGGGAGCAAACAGGAUUAGAUACCCUGGUAGUCCACGCCGUAAACGAUGGGUGCUAGGUGUCAGGGGCUUUGACCCCUCUGGUGCCGAAGCUAACGCAUUAAGCACCCCGCCUGGGGAGUACGGCCGCAAGGCUAAA